GCGGGUGUGGCGGAAUUGGCAGACGCGCAGGACUUAGGAUCCUGUGGGGUUAACCCGUGAGGGUUCGACUCCCUCCACCCGCAC
rnacentral:tRNA from 1 species